UGAGGAAUAUUGGUCAAUGGACGUAAGUCUGAACCAGCCAAGUAGCGUGCAGGAAGACGGCCCUAUGGGUUGUAAACUGCUUUUAUGCGGGGGUAAAGUGAGUGACGUGUCAUUCAUUGCAAGUACCGCAAGAAUAAGGACCGGCUAAUUCCGUGCCCG
rnacentral:rRNA from 1 species